rnacentral:rRNA from 1 species
GCUCAGAUUGAACGCUGGCGGCAGGCUUAACACAUGCAAGUCGAGCGGAGAGAGGUAGCUUGCUACUGAUCUUAGCGGCGGACGGGUGAGUAAUGCUUAGGAAUCUGCCUAUUAGUGGGGGACAACAUUUCGAAAGGAAUGCUAAUACCGCAUACGUCCUACGGGAGAAAGCAGGGGAUCUUCGGACCUUGCGCUAAUAGAUGAGCCUAAGUCGGAUUAGCUAGUUGGUGGGGUAAAGGCCUACCAAGGCGACGAUCUGUAGCGGGUCUGAGAGGAUGAUCCGCCACACUGGGACUGAGACACGGCCCAGACUCCUACGGGAGGCAGCAGUGGGGAAUAUUGGACAAUGGGCGCAAGCCUGAUCCAGCCAUGCCGCGUGUGUGAAGAAGGCCUUAUGGUUGUAAAGCACUUUAAGCGAGGAGGAGGCUACUGAAGUUAAUACCUUCAGAUAGUGGACGUUACUCGCAGAAUAAGCACCGGCUAACUCUGUGCCAGCAGCCGCGGUAAUACAGAGGGUGCAAGCGUUAAUCGGAUUUACUGGGCGUAAAGCGCGCGUAGGCGGCUAAUUAAGUCAAAUGUGAAAUCCCCGAGCUUAACUUGGGAAUUGCAUUCGAUACUGGUUAGCUAGAGUGUGGGAGAGGAUGGUAGAAUUCCAGGUGUAGCGGUGAAAUGCGUAGAGAUCUGGAGGAAUACCGAUGGCGAAGGCAGCCAUCUGGCCUAACACUGACGCUGAGGUGCGAAAGCAUGGGGAGCAAACAGGAUUAGAUACCCUGGUAGUCCAUGCCGUAAACGAUGUCUACUAGCCGUUGGGGCCUUUGAGGCUUUAGUGGCGCAGCUAACGCGAUAAGUAGACCGCCUGGGGAGUACGGUCGCAAGACUAAAACUCAAAUGAAUUGACGGGGGCC